CAGGGAAUAGUUAAUCAGAA
rnacentral:tRNA from 1 species